GAUGAUUUCUCCUUCUGCAGUGAAAUAGGUAUCAUUUUCACAGAGGGGAACCUGCCUGGCUGGAACUGAGGGGGACUGAAGCAAGAGGUGUUCUGAAUGUGGCAGCACAGCUCAAUUAAGAGACCACUGCAUGUUGUGAAACCUUCCUGACACAUGAAGGCCUUUUGAAGCUGAGGUGCCCUGAGUGCUGCUGGGCUGGCCAAGGGGCCUUCUCUGAAAUCCCUUCUUCACGCAGGAAGAGAAACAUUUGCUCAUCUGAUGGUGCACCUGAAACAAAGUUGCAUGGUCUGUUGAUAUUUAUUAGUGUGGGUACGUGAUUUAAGGUUGAAGAGCAUUUUCCAACUAUUUGUCUCGUGCAUUACUGAAACAUAAAUGGUUGAAGCAGCUCUCCAGUGACUGUCACACACUUCAGCUGGCCCAGAGGUGUCCUGACGUGUGAGGAGAGACGAGCAGGAGGAAUGGGGGAAGAACAAACCCAGGGAUCUGAAGCCUCAGCCAUGACUGAUGAACUCAGCAUAAAGCCACUGACUGAAGGGAAAAGAGACUCAGACAAAGAAUCUAUGUUAAAUGUGAUCAAAAAUUCUGAUGGGCAGUUUAACCUUGAGGCUGCAAUUAGAAAUGUUGACACAAUGUCCAACGAGUUGAAGAAAAUAAAUG